CGCUGUUCAGCUGCUGCAGAUCCCUCCCUGGACAGACUCAGGUGACCUCUGCGCCAGACCCUGGCGUGGAGCUGCUGGGGACAGGCAGGCUCCUGCCCAGCCCCGGUGUCUCGCUCUGCAGGGGGGGUCAGCAGGCAGAGGCCCAGGGACCUGGUGGGGCAGGGGUCAUAGGCUGUGGGCAUGGUCCCCCGUCCCCAGGGUGCGUCCCAAGGCUGCAGAGGAAUCCGUCUAAGCCACUCUCCCACCUCCGAGGACCCCCACGCCCCAGGCACAGAGCUCAGGGAGACUCAGGGUGUGGACUCCAGGGGUCACCGGCUCCUCCCUCCAGAGGCCCUUCCCUCCUCCCUACAGCUGUCCUGCUGGGGCGGCCUCGUCUGUCCAGCCAGUGGCCCUGCUCCCAUCCCAGCAGAGCUUCCAGCCCCCAGCCACCUGCUCCGCAGCUGCUCCAGACCGCGCCUCCCGCCAACCCACCCUGUCCUCCGGAGGAGGCUGGGAGGCCCAGAGAGGCUGAGUCACACAGCUGGGCUGGGAGCCAGGCCGCGGCCUCCGAGGGCCUCACCCAGCUGGCCCUGGACAUGGCCCUGCUGCUGGCCUGGCCUCCACUCUCGGCGGGGCGGGGCGGGGCGGGCCCAGCAGGGGAGGCCAGCAGUGGGCAUGAGAGCCUCCUGGUGGAGCUGCCAGCCUCGGUCACGGUUUUACAGGGCAGUCCACUCUGCAGCAGGACCGCCCCCACCACGGGGCCAGCAGAGUGACCCUGGAGGAGCCAGCAGAGUGACCCUGGAGGAGCGUGUGUCCCCCUGGGCCUCGUGUCCCUCUCUGUGAGGGGCCUGAGUAGCUGCCACCACCCCUGGGGAACAAGCGAAGUGGCGUCUUUUCCGCCCGCCUGUCCCGGGCGCAGCCUCGAGGAGGAGCCGGGAAAUCCGGAGGCGGCGCAGCCCCGGCGCCUGGGCCCAGGGAGGGGGCGCCGGCGCCCGGCACCGCCCAGAUGCGCCAGGGCUGCCAGCAUUCCUGGAAGGUAACGCAGCCGCCCGCGGCCAGAUGUGCAUCCCCAACAGCUGCCCUGCGCUCACAAGGUCAGCGCCUGGCUCCAGCCAGCCGCCGCCCCGCCCACCCGGCACCCCUAGGCGGCCGGCAGGAGGGGGCGAGGGCGGCAGCGGGUCCCCCUGGCUCCCAGGGUGCCUGCCCGCCCCCACCCGGAGGCCACGGUCACUUCUGGGGGCGUGGGGAGCAGGGAGCAGGUCGCCUGGCGCACGCCCCCCCCCUGCCCGCCUGGUGGGCGGCUCCGCCUCUUUCUCUGGAGGAAAGCUCCAGAUGCGCUAAUCCCCAGCUGGGCCAGAUUUGCCGGCGGCUCCCCUCCUGCAGCCCAGAGCUCCCGCGGCUGCGGGUGGGGUGGUCUGGUCUCCACCUCCCCUCUCCCACCUGAGGGUCAAGGGCCAGCCAGGCCGCCCGCUUUGAGAUGGGCCCGUUCCCAGGGAACGCAGGCACCUCUGAGCCCCGUCUUCCUGUCCCCUGGGAGUGAUGAGAAGAGCUCAUGGGCUGCAGCAGCUCAGCCACCUCCCUGCCACUCAGCCCGUCCUACUGCAAGUCCGCCUCCUGAGCUCAGAACAGCCCUCCCCACUGCUGGCUCACUCAGGAGACCCCAGGAGCUGGGACUGGAAUCAAUCCUCAGCCCAGACAAAGGAACUGAGGCCCAGAGCCCCCAGGAGUGGGCCUCCUGAGGCCAUGUGGCAGGACAGUGGCCUGGGCUCUGCUCCACUCCUGAGCAGGACGCAGCACCAGGGAGCGCUCAUGAUCCUGCGUCUCUGGACACUCACUCCGCCCACCAGGAGCCUGUCCACCACCCAUCUGAGAUGUCCAAGUCAGGGUCCUCCUGGUCACCUGAGUUUCAUCCUUCCCAGGGAAGGCUGGGAACAAGGGAGUCAGUGACAAAUGGCCAGUGACAUUCCCAAACUCAGCACUGGCCUUCCCCGAGUGGCCCGGGAAGAGGUCGAGCUGAGCUUCCGGAUCUUCUCGGGGUUCAGAAGGCGGCUCCCGGGAAGGUGCUGCAGAGGUCCCGGUUCCUCUGUCACCUGAGACGAGCAUCUCCUGCCAGGGGUCACCCAAAGCAGGUGCCCACCACGCUCUGCCACUCGAAGCCACCCUCGCCUGGCCUGGCAAGGUCCCAGGGGCCAGCACCCCCGGUCCAGCAGCAGAGGGCGAGGCCCAGCAGUGGCCUCCCAGGCCGCAGACGGAGCUGCAGAGACCCGCGGCAGCCGUCCCCAACAGGCCUGAGACCAGCUCCAGGGCUGUCCCUCGAGCUCCCCCAUGCUGCCUUCUACGUCUUCGAAGGUGACAGGUGGCAUCUUAUGCUGGAGGAUGGCAGCGCUACGGGGGGCACGCAGACAGGGAGCCGCAGGGCGCAGAGGACGGGGCAGGGCCGGGCAGCUACAAGCCCUGGCAGCCUGCUGACCGAGACCCGAGUCACAGAGGAAGGCCACAUCCACCCGGCCAUGCCCAUGAGUCACCCACUCACCCUCCCCUUUCACGCCCUGUGCCCCCUCAGGCCCACCCCAGAUCUAACCGCAUCAGAUCCUCCAGGCUCGGGGGGCUGUCAAUCAACACCCCCCGCCCCGGGGCCUGGCACACCCUAGACUGGCCAAUCAGCACUGGCCUGGGCGUUAGCUGGGAACCUCUGUCCCUCCCCAGAGUCACCUAGAAUGGCUGCUGGCUGUCCCUGAUACCACGUGGGGGGCAGCUCCUGGAGAAGGAGCCCCUCGGGAGGACACAGAGGCAGGGGCCUGGGGUGUCCGGGAGCCCCGGGUCCCGAGGGCUGCAGCCAGUCUCGGCCUCCAGAGAGGCCACAGAGCUCCCUCCUGCUGGAGCCAGCUGAAGUGGGCCUGGUCAUCGUGAGCAGAGGGCCCCAGGGGACACGGCCCUGCAGGACGCACAGGAGACUCGGAGCUGUGGCAGCUCAGCCCACAGCCACACGCAGGCACGCCAGGCACGUCACCUGUCCUCACUGCCACCGCCGACCCCAGCUGGAGAGGCGCAGCCAGGCCACAGGGCCUGGGCUCCAGAGGCCGUCCCCAGCCUCAGUUUCCCAUCUGUAAAUGGGGUCAGCAGCUCCUCCAGAGCAGGUCACUGGGAGGCUCGGCCGGGGACACUCCCGGCCACCCUCGCAGUGGCCACACGGCCCAGCCUGGCCCGGGCGUCUGAGGUCAGGUACACGCGCUCUCAGGCCUGCUCUUACAGAUGGCGGGCACCCACCCUGGACAAGUGGACCCCGGUCUGCUCAUCUUUCUGGGGACACUUCCUUCCCCAAAGAGGAAAGGACAGGCAAAGCCUCUGCCCUCCUGUCCUGCUCCUGGAGGCUGUCACGCGAGAAUGUGAUGCUCGGCGCUACGGCAGCUAUCUUGCAACCCUGAGAAAACGGCAUUUGGAUUUGCUUUGCUUUAAGGAGAAGGCCCUUUUCUGUCGGCUUGUGGUUGCAGGCUGCACUUUAACUUCCAAAGCAGUUAAGAGCAGGGAUUCUGGCCCCGGCUGCCUGUGUGACCUCAAGGCAAGUUACUUAACUUCUCUGUGCCUUAGUUCCCUUUUCUAUUAAACAGGAAUGAUUUUCCUUAUUUUAUUUUAUCGAUCUUUUUUAAAAUAGAUGACAGCAGAAUGCGUUACAAUUUA